AGGGGUGUAGCUCAAUUGGUAGAGCAACGGUCUCCAAAACCGUAGGUUGCGGGUUCAAGUCCUGUCACCCCUGCAA
rnacentral:tRNA from 4 species